GCUUAACACAUGCAAGUCGAACGAUGAAGCCCGUGCUUGCACGGGUGGAUUAGUGGCGAACGGGUGAGUAUCACGUGAGUGACGGGCCCUUAUCUCUGGGAUAAGCCUGGGAAACUGGGUCUAAUACCGGAUACGACCAGUCACCGCAUGGUGUGCUGGUGGAAAGCUUUUGCGGUUUUGGAUGGACCCGCGCCCUAUCAGCUAUACGGUGGGGUAAUGGCCUACCGUGGCGAUGACGGGUAGCCGGCCUGACAGGGUGACCGGCCACACUGGGACUGAUACACGGCCCAGAAUCUUACGGGAGGCAGCAGUGGGGAAUAUUACACAAUGGGCGAGAGCGAGAAACAGCGACGCCGCGUACGGGAUGCCGGCGUUGGGGUUGUAAACUGCUUUCAGCAGGGAAGGAGUGCAAGUGACGGUACAUGCAGAAGAAGCGCCGGAUAAAUACGUCCCAGCAGCCGCGAUAAUACGUAGGGCGCGAGCGUUAUCCGGAAUUAUUGGGCGUAAAGAGCUUGUAGGCGGUUUAUAGCGUCUGAUGUGAAAGCCCGGGGCUUAACCCGCGGGUGUGCAGUGGGUACGGGCAGACUAGAGUGCAGUACGGGAGACUGGAAUUCCUGGUGUAGCGGUCACCCGCCCAGAUAUCAGGAGCAACACCGAUGGCGAAGGCAGGUUUGUGGGCUAUUACUGACGGUGAGAAGCGAAAGCGUGGGGAGCGNACAGGAUU
rnacentral:rRNA from 1 species